rnacentral:rRNA from 1 species
GUGGUAAUGCCGGAUGUUCCACAUGAUCGCAUGUGAUUGUGGGAAAGAUUUCAUCGGCGUGGGAUGGGGUCGCGUCCUAUCAGCUUGUUGGUGAGGUAACGGCUCACCAAGGCUUCGACGGGUAGCCGGCCUGAGAGGGCGACCGGCCACAUUGGGACUGAGAUACGGCCCAGACUCCUACGGGAGGCAGCAGUGGGGAAUAUUGCACAAUGGGCGCAAGCCUGAUGCAGCGACGCCGCGUGAGGGAUGGAGGCCUUCGGGUUGUAAACCUCUUUUGUUUGGGAGCAAGCCUUCGGGUGAGUGUACCUUUCGAAUAAGCGCCGGCUAACUACGUGCCAGCAGCCGCGGUAAUACGUAGGGCGCAAGCGUUAUCCGGAUUUAUUGGGCGUAAAGGGCUCGUAGGCGGCUCGUCGCGUCCGGUGUGAAAGUCCAUCGCUUAACGGUGGAUCUGCGCCGGGUACGGGCGGGCUGGAGUGCGGUAGGGGAGACUGGAAUUCCCGGUGUAACGGUGGAAUGUGUAGAUA